GUGCUUGUUUUAGAAGCACAUAUACUAAAAUGGAAACGACACAGAGAAGAUUAUUAGCAUGGCCACUAAACAAGGAUGACAAAGAAAUUUGUGAAGGGAUAACUAUGACU